rnacentral:rRNA from 1 species
GAUGAACGCUAGCGAUAGGCUUAACACAUGCAAGUCGAGGGGCAGCAUGAACAAAGCUUGCUUUGUUUGAUGGCGACCGGCGCACGGGUGCGUAACACGUAUGCAACUUACCCAUAAAUCGGGGAUAACCCGGAGAAAUUCGGACUAAUACCCGAUGGUAUUACUUUAAGGCAUCUUUUAGUAAUUAAAGAUUUAUCGAUUAUGGAUAGUCAUGCGCAUGAUUAGCUAGUUGGUGGGGUAACGGCUGACCAAGGCGACGAUCAUUAGGGGUUCGAGUGUGAAGGUCCCCCAGACUGGUACAGAGACACGGACCAGACUCCUACGGGAGACAGCAGUGGGGAAUAUUGGUCAAUGGACGAGAGUCUGAACCAGCCAAGUCGCGUGAAGGAAGACUGCCCUAAGGGUUGUAAACUUCUUUUGUAUGGGAAUAAAAAAUGGGACGUGUCCUAUAUUGUAUGUACCAUACGAAUAAGGAUCGGCUAACUCCGUGCCAGCCGCCGCUGUAAAAC